GCGUAUUUAGACGAAAUGUUAUCUAAUUGAUGUAUAUUGUUGUAUAAGAGGCAAAAAGAGUUCCGGAAGUUGUUGUUUUUGGGCCUUCGGCCAAGAAUAAGAUUGUAAAUUUUGCUCACUCUGAAGUCCCAAUGCAGCACUUUCUACGGUGCCUUUAUGCAACUGGUGUGAACUUUGUCCACACAGCUCCUAGUUAGAUAAAUCGUCCAUUGUUUUGUUGG
rnacentral:lncRNA from 1 species